CCUACGGGGCGCAGCAGUGAGGAAUAUUGGUCAAUGGACGAGAGUCUGAACCAGCCAAGUAGCGUGAAGGAUGACUGCCCUAUGGGUUGUAAACUUCUUUUAUAAAGGAAUAAAACGAGGCACGUGUGCCUUUUUGCAUGUACUUUAUGAAUAAGGAUCGGCUAACUCCGUGCCAGCAGCCGCGGUAAUACGGAGGAUCCGAGCGUUAUCCGGAUUUAUUGGGUUUAAAGGGAGCGUAGAUGGGUUGUUAAGUCAGUUGUGAAAGUUUGCGGCUCAACCGUAAAAUUGCAAUUGAUACUGGCAGUCGUGAGUACAGUUGAGGUAGGCGGAAUUCGUGGUGUAGCGGUGAAAUGCUUAGAUAUCACGAAGAACUCCGAUUGCGAAGGCAGCUUACUAAACUGCCACUGACAUUGAUGCUCGAAAGUGUGGGUAUCAAACAGGAUUAGAUACCCUUGUAGUC
rnacentral:rRNA from 1 species